rnacentral:rRNA from 1 species
AUUGAUUUUAUGCUUGCAUAAAUGAUUUUUGGAUUCGGAGCGAGUGGCGAACUGGUGAGUAACACGUGGGUAACCUGCCCCGAAGCGGGGGAUAACAUUUGGAAACAAAUGCUAAUACCGCAUAAUUAGUCAGAACCGCAUGGUUCCGACUUGAAAGAUGGCUCUGCUAUCACUUCGGGAUGGACCCGCGCCGUAUUAGUUAGUUGGUGAGAUAAAAGCCCACCAAGACGAUGAUACGUAGCCGACCUGAGAGGGUAAUCGGCCACAUUGGGACUGAGACACGGCCCAGACUCCUACGGGAGGCAGCAGUAGGGAAUCUUCCACAAUGGACGAAAGUCUGAUGGAGCAACGCCGCGUGAGUGAUGAAGGGUUUCGGCUCGUAAAACUCUGUUGUUAAAGAAGAACAAGCAUGAGAGUAACUGUUCAUGCUUUGACGGUAUUUAACCAGAAAGCCACGGCUAACUACGUGCCAGCAGCCGCGGUAAUACGUAGGUGGCAAGCGUUGUCCGGAUUUAUUGGGCGUAAAGCGAGCGCAGGCGGUUUUGUAAGUCUGCUGUGAAAGCCCUCAGCUCAACUGAGGAAGUGCAGUGGAAACUACAAAACUUGAGUACAGAAGAGGAAAGUGGAACUCCAUGUGUAGCGGUGAAAUGCGUAGAUAUAUGGAAGAACACCAGUGGCGAAGGCGGCUUUCUGGUCUGUUACUGACGCUGAGGCUCGAAAGCAUGGGUAGCGAACAGGAUUAGAUACCCUGGUAGUCCAUGCCGUAAACGAUGAAUACUAGGUGUUGGAGGGUUUCCGCCCUUCAGUGCCGCAGCUAACGCAUUAAGUAUUCCGCCUGGGGAGUACGACCGCAAGGUUGAAACUCAAAGGAAUUGACGGGGGCCCGCACAAGUGGUGGAGCAUGUGGUUUAAUUCGAUGCUGCGCGAAGAACCUUACCAGCUCUUGACAUCUUCUGCCAACCUAAGAGAUUAGGCGUUCCCUUCGGGGACAGAAUGACAGGUGGUGCAUGGUUGUCGUCAGCUCGUGUCGUGAGAUGUUGGGUUAAGUCCCGCAACGAGCGCAACCCUUAUUAUUAGUUGCCAGCAUUUAGUUGGGCACUCUAGUGAGACUGCCGGUGAUAAA